UGAUUUGUCUGGUUAAUUCCGUUAACGAACGAGACCCCCGCCUGCUAAAUAGUGUCGGUAAUGCUUCUGCAUUGCCGUUUCUACUUCUUAGAGGGACUUUCGGUGACUAACCGAAGGAAGUUGGGGGCAAUAACAGGUCUGUGAUGCCCUUAGAUGUCCUGGGCUGCACGCGCGCUACACUGAUGCAUGCAACGAGUAACGACCUUUGCCGGAAGGCACGGGUAAUCUUUUGAACGUGCAUCGUGAUAGGGAUAGAUUAUUGCAAUUAUUAAUCUUGAACGAGGAAUUCCUAGUAAACGCGAGUCAUCAGCUCGCAUUGAUUACGUCCCUGCCCUUUGUACACACCGCCCGU
rnacentral:rRNA from 1 species